rnacentral:rRNA from 1 species
CGCCUCUUGCAAAAUAUAAGAGGUCCAGCCUGCCCAGUGACUCUGUUCAACGGCCGCGGUAUCCUAACCGUGCGAAGGUAGCGUAAUCACUUGUUCUUUAAAUGUGGACUAGUAUGAAUGGCACCACGAGGGUUAUACUGUCUCCUUUCUCUAAUCAGUGAAACUGAUCUCCCCGUGAAGAAGCGGGGAUACACCUAUAAGACGAGAAGACCCUAUGGAGCUUUAAACAAAAUAGCACUUGCCCUACAACACAAAAAUUCCUGAAUCACUAAUACACCUGGCAAUAUGACUAUAAGUUUUUGGUUGGGGUGACCACGGAGUACAACACAACCUCCGUAUUGAAAGAAUACUAUUCUAAGCUAAGAACUACGAAUCUAAGCAUCAAAACAUUGACAUCUAUUGACCCAAUACAAUUGAACAACGAACCAAGUUACCCUAGGGAUAACAGCGCAAUCCACUUCGAGAGCUCCUAUCGACAAGUGGGUUUACGACCUCGAUGUUGGAUCAGGGUCUCCCAGUGGUGCAGCCGCUACUAAUGGUUCGUUUGUUCAACGAUUAAAACCCU